AGUUUCUGCCAGGGCUCGAACCUGGGACCUUCCGCGUGUUAGGCGGAUGUGAUAACCACUACACCACAGAAAC
rnacentral:tRNA from 1 species